GUAGGGAAUAUUGCACAAUGGAGGAAACUCUGAUGCAGCGACGCCGCGUGAGUGAUGAAGGCCUUCGGGUCGUAAAGCUCUGUCGCAGGGGAAUAACACAAUGAAGGUACCCUGUAAGAAAGGAUCGGCUAACUUCGUGCCAGCAGCCGCGGUAAGACGAGGGAUCCUAGCGUUGUUCGGAAUCAUUGGGCGUAAAGCGGAUGUAGGUGGCUAUGUAAGUCAGAUGUGAAAGCCUGGGGCUCAACCCCAGAAGUGCAUUUGAUACUGCGUAGCUUGAGUGUCGGAGAGGUUACUAGAAUUGUUGGUGUAGUGGUGAAAUACGUAGAUAUCAACAGGAAUACCGGAGGCGAAGGCGGGUAACUGGCCGAACACUGACACUGAGGCACGAAACCUAAGGUAGCGAAUGGGAUUAGAUACCCCAGUAGUCC
rnacentral:rRNA from 1 species